rnacentral:rRNA from 1 species
GACGAACGCUGGCGGCGUGCCUAAUACAUGCAAGUUGAGCGCUGAAGGUUGGUACUUGUACCAACUGGAUGAGCAGCGAACGGGUGAGUAACGCGUGGGGAAUCUGCCUUUGAGCGGGGGACAACAUUUGGAAACGAAUGCUAAUACCGCAUAAAAACUUUAAACACAAGUUUUAAGUUUGAAAGAUGCAAUUGCAUCACUCAAAGAUGAUCCCGCUUUGUAUUAGCUAGUUGGUGAGGUAAAGGCUCACCAAGGCGAUGAUACAUAGCCGACCUGAGAGGGUGAUCGGCCACAUUGGGACUGAGACACGGCCCAAACUCCUACGGGAGGCAGCAGUAGGGAAUCUUCGGCAAUGGACGAAAGUCUGACCGAGCAACGCCGCGUGAGUGAAGAAGGUUUUCGGAUCGUAAAACUCUGUUGGUAGAGAAGAACGUUGGUGAGAGUGGAAAGCUCAUCAAGUGACGGUAACUACCCAGAAAGGGACGGCUAACUACGUG